GACGAACGCUGGCGGCGUGCUUAACACAUGCAAGUCGAGCGGUAAGGCCCUUUCGGGGGUACACGAGCGGCGAACGGGUGAGUAACACGUGGGUGACCUGCCCUCAGCUCUGGGAUAAGCCUGGGAAACUGGGUCUAAUACUGGAUAUGACUCCACGGUGCAUGUCGUGGGGUGGAAAGCCUUGUGCGGCUGAGGAUGGGCCCGCGGCCUAUCAGCUUGUUGGUGGGGUGANGGCCUACCAAGGCGACGACGGGUAGCCGGCCUGAGAGGGCGACCGGCCACACUGGGACUGAGACACGGCCCAGACUCCUACGGGAGGGCAGCAGUCGGGAAUCUUGCGCAAUGGGCGAAAGCCUGACGCAGCGACGCCGCGUGAGGGA
rnacentral:rRNA from 1 species